AGAAUCAACGCUGGCGGCGUGCCUAACACAUGCAAGUCGAACGAGAAAGUGGAGCAAUCCAUGAGUAAAGUGGCGACCGGGUGAGUAACACGUGACUAACCUACCUUCGAGUGGGGGAUAACAUCGGGAAACCGAUGCUAAUACCGCAUAACAUCGCAAGAUCAAAGCAGCAAUGCGCUGGAAGAGGGGGUCGCGGCUGAUUAGCUAGUUGGCGGGGUAACGGCCCACCAAGGCGAAGAUCGGUAGCCGGCCUGAGAGGGCGCACGGCCACACUGGAACUGAAACACGGUCCAGACUCCUACGGGAGGCAGCAGUGGGGAAUUUUGCGCGAAUGGGGGAAACCCUGACGCAGCAACGCCGCGUGGAGGAUGAAGCCCCUUGGGUGUAACUCCUUUCGACCAAGACGAUAAUGACGGUACUGGUGGAAGAAGCACCGGCUAACUCUGCGCCAGCAGCCGC
rnacentral:rRNA from 1 species